rnacentral:tRNA from 1 species
AGGGGAAUAGCUCAGUGGUAGAGCGCAUGUUUAGCAUGCCCAAGGUCCUGGGUUCAAUCCCCAGUACCUCCA